rnacentral:rRNA from 1 species
GACGAACGCUGGCGGCGUGCUUAACACAUGCAAGUCGAACGGAAAGGCCCUGCUUUUGUGGGGUGCUCGAGUGGCGAACGGGUGAGUAACACGUGAGUAACCUGCCCUUGACUUUGGGAUAACUUCAGGAAACUGGGGCUAAUACCGGAUAGGAGCUCCUGCUGCAUGGUGGGGGUUGGAAAGUUUCGGCGGUUGGGGAUGGACUCGCGGCUUAUCAGCUUGUUGGUGGGGUAGUGGCUUACCAAGGCUUUGACGGGUAGCCGGCCUGAGAGGGUGACCGGCCACAUUGGGACUGAGAUACGGCCCAGACUCCUACGGGAGGCAGAAGUGGGGAAUAUUGCACAAUGGGCGGAAGCCAGAUGCAGCAACGCCGCGUGCGGGAUGACGGCCUUCGGGUUGUAAACCGCUUUCGCCUGUGACGAAGCGUGAGUGACGGUAAUUGGUAAAGAAGCACCGGCUAACUACGUG